rnacentral:lncRNA from 1 species
AUUUUCAGAAUGUAGAUAUCUAGUGUAUAGUAUAAACAUGGAUAGAUAACUAUUGAAAAGGUGGUUCAGUAGGUAGAAUGGAUGAAUAGUCAGGAAAAGUAAUUAUCAUCCAUAGUGUAGGAGUUGGUAUCUCGGGGUAGUAUAAGGAGGAUGGGAGAGAGGAAGAAAAUGCCAGACUGUGAUAGUAUUGAGCCGGAAUAAGCUUGGUGCUAUCUCUUCUUCUUAGUUUUCUUGUUUCUUUUGUAUUAGUAUUGAUUCUAGUAAAGAGAAUCGAUUUAAUG